UAUUUUUCAGUUGGGAACUAUUGGCAUUUUGUAUGGAACUGUCCUGAACUUUGCAGGCUGUUUAUCAUCCCUACCCUUCACCCACCAAACGCCAGUAAAUUCCAAAUCACUGUGAUGACUAAAUAUGUCCUGCACAUUUUCAAGUUCCCACUAGGGGGCUUGUAUCACCCUUGACUACCAUUUGUCACAUGUUCACUAAUAAACACUUCCUGAUGGAUGUAGUGGGAUACAGCUUGGAGAUAAUGUUUCUCUCUUCACAGGCAUUUUGGUUCUCCUCUCCCACCACCAGGUCUCCCCCUUCACCCACUGAAUCAAUACAUUCAUAGUUUCAAGAUGAGGGUAAACAGCCAGGAACAAACAAGACAACUAAGUUUCUGAAUGAGUUGUUUGUUUUUCAUCUUCAAACAUAAGCUAUAAAGACAGCCCACCUGUAGAGAUGACCAAAAUGGGAUUCUUACUGCACACACUCAUUCCAGGUAAACCUAAAGUUGAUUUGUUUUGUUUUGCUUUGUUUUGUUUUGUUUUGUUUUGUUUUGAUACUGGUAAGAAGUUCGUGUUUUACAUUAGUAAUUUUUGCCUUUCUCUCUCUCUCCAGAACACGAGAGAAUUUCAGCUUGUUCUCAAAGAAUACCAAAAUAGUCUGAAAGAAAGAAAGAAAGAAAAGAA